GACAGAGGUGGCUAGCGUUGUUCGGAUUUAUUGGGCGUAAAGCGCACGCAGGCGGUUUGGUAAGUCAGGGGUGAAAGGCCACGGCUUAACUGUGGUAUUGCCUUUGAUACUGCCUUUCUUGAGUAGAGUAGGGGGAAGCGGAAUUCCGAGUGUAGAGGUGAAAUUCGUAGAUAUUCGGAGGAACACCGGUGGCGAAGGCGGCUUCCUGGACUCUAACUGACGCUCAUGUGCGAAAGCGUGGGGAG
rnacentral:rRNA from 1 species